rnacentral:rRNA from 1 species
UACGUAUGGGGCGAGCGUUAUCCGGAUUUAUUGGGCGUAAAGAGCGCGUAGGCGGUUUGUUAAGCGCGAUGUGAAAACUGGGGGCUCAACCCGCAGCUUGCAUCGUGAACUGGCAGACUUGAGUCUGGUAGAGGAGUGUGGAAUUCCCAGUGUAGCGGUGAAAUGCGCAGAUAUUGGGAGGAACACCAGUGGCGAAGGCGGCACUCUGGGCCACGACUGACGCUGAGGCGCGAAAGCUAGGGGAGCAAAC